CUCAGUGGUGAAGGCUGUGCGGACACUGGGGGCCCGCCAGGGGUUUGGCCCCUUACUCAACCCAACCACGGUCCUCUCCGGCGCAGGCCGAUUUGAGGACCUAGACUCCUUGAUGCUGACGGCCUGAGGGGGCUCCCGGGUGCCGGAUAUCUGACACAGGCCAGGGAGGCUCCCCUGGGAGACCUGGCAGGCCUGGAGGUGUGAGUCGGCUCUGAGCAGCUGCUCUGGGAGAGCCAGUCCACGGAGCCAAAGCUGGAGGGGAGCUGCCGGCCACAAGGUGGGGAGGAGGAGAGACGCAAGGCCGUCAGAUGCUUGCCCUGGAAACCAACCAUGAUGCUGUGAUGUUGGCAACUGAGUUGUGUUUCAGCCCAAAGCAGCAAAUGGAAUCCAGCUUCAGGACCAUCAUCUGACAUAGGGGAAGAAGACUUACAUAGAAGGCCUAACCAGCACCCAAGAUCAUGCUCAUAGGUGGAGGAGACUUGCUUUGUCUCCUCCUUUGAGUUAAUGCUGAAAUGAGUUGAGACUUUGGGGAACUGUUGGGAAGGAAUGAUUGGUUUUAAAUAUGAAUAUAUGAGAUUUGGGAGGGGGCCAGGGGUGGAAUGAUAUGGUUUGGCUCUGUGUCCCCAACCAAAUCUCAUCUUGUAGCUCCCAUAAUCCUCCCAUGUUGUGGGAGGGACCCAGUGGGAGAUGAUUGAAUCAUGAGGGCGGGUCUUUCUCAUGCUGUUCAUGAUCCCAUUCAUGUGAGAAAGACCCAUGUGAUCAUGAAUGGGUCUCACAAGAUCUGAUGGUGUUAAAAAUGGGAGUUUCUCUGCACAAGCUCUCUGCCUGCUGCCAUUCACAAAGGAUGUGACUUGCUUCUCCUUGCCUUCUGCCAUGAUUGUGAGGCCUCCCUAGCCAUGUGGAACUGUGAGUCCAAUUAAACCUCUUUCUUUUGUAAAUUGA
rnacentral:lncRNA from 1 species